GAUUUCCCUCCCUUGAAUGUAAGUCAGACUUCAUGACUUGCCUCUAACGAAUAGGAUGUGGCAGAAAAGAUGCCAUAUGACUUCUGAGGCUAGAUCAUUAAGAAGGUAGCUUCUGUUGACUCUUUCUCUUUUGAUUUUUGAUUGCUUAUGUCAGAGAAAGCCCAUUUCCAUGCUAUGGAGGGCACUCAUACAACCUAUGAAGAGGCCCCUGUGAGGAGGAACUGAGGCCUUCACCACCAACCAGCCACGACUUUCCAGCCAUGUAAAUGAAUCACCUGGAAUGAAAAUUUUCUUGCCAGUCAAGCCUUCAAAUGACUACAGCCCCAGCCAACAUCUUAACUGAAACUCCAUGAGAAAUUGCAAGAUAAAAUUGCCCAGCAAGCAUGCUCCGGAAUUUCAGACCCACAGAAACUUUUGGUCAGAGAACAUACUUUCAAGAUCCCAAUUUUUUAAAAUUUGUUCAGACUAUUAAUGGCUCUGCAUAUAAUCUCACUUGGUAAGUAUUUCAUGUACAUUUGAAAAGAAUGUGUAUUCUGAAAUUUUAGGAGUGGAGUUCUAGAAAUAUUAAUUAGAAUAUGAUAGUGGAAAGUAUUGUUCAGAUAUUCUGUAUUCUUACUAUUUUUUUUGGCUGACUUUAUCAAUUACUGAGAGAGUAGUAUUAACAUAUAGAAAUAUUUUUCCUCUUAUAUUUUGAAGUCUUAUGAUUAAGUACAUUCAUAUUCAUAAUCCUGAUGUUUUGUGGAUAAAUUGACUCCUGUAUAGAAGAUGUCUAUCUUUCUCUCCAUUCAAGUUCUUUGUCUUGAAAGUCUAUUGCAGGUGAUAUUAGCAUAGUGAUCUCUCCUUACUUAUGAUUAGUGUUUGCAUAAUGUACCCUUUCCACUUUUUACAUUUUAUUUUUGUUUUGGUAUUUAAAAAUCGCCUUUUGUUCACAGCAUGUGAGUCUUGAUUUUUUUAAUGCUACCUAAGAAUGUUUGCCUUUUGAGAGUUUAGUCCACUUAUAUUAAUGCACUGAUAUUAUUGAAUUAGAUCUAUCAUGUUUUCAUUUGUUCCGACUAUUUUUUGUUUCUCUAUUCUACAUUUCCUGCCUUGUUUUGUGAAAGUCAAAUUUUAAUACUCAAUUUUACUUCAAAUAUUGACUUUAUAACCAUGCAUCUUUUUAAUUGUUCUGCUUUCAACUGGU
rnacentral:lncRNA from 1 species